rnacentral:rRNA from 1 species
GAUCAUGGCUCAGGAUGAACGCUGACAGAAUGCUUAACACAUGCAAGUCUACUUGAAUUUGGGUCCUAGACUUAGAUUUGGGUGGCGGACGGGUGAGUAACGCGUAAAGAACUUGCCUCACAGUUAGGGACAACAUUUGGAAACGAAUGCUAAUACCUGAUAUUAUGAUUUUAGGGCAUCCUAAGAUUAUGAAAACUAUAUGUGCUGUGAGAGAGCUUUGCGUCCCAUUAG